AUUGAACGCUGGCGGCAUGCCUUACACAUGCAAGUCGAACGGUAACAGGUCUUCGGAUGCUGACGAGUGGCGAACGGGUGAGUAAUACAUCGGAACGUGCCCAGACGUGGGGGAUAACGAGGCGAAAGCUCUGCUAAUACCGCAUACGAUCUAAGGAUGAAAGCAGGGGACCGCAAGGCCUUGCGCGUUUGGAGCGGCCGAUGGAAGAUUAGGGAGUUGGUGGGAUAAAAGCUGACCAAGCCGACGAUCUGUAUCUGGUCUGGGAGGACGACCAGACAAACGGGGACGCGGACACGGCCCAGACUCCUACGGGAGGAAGCAGUGGGGAAUUUUGGACAAUGGGCGAAAGCCUGAUCCAGCAAUGCCGCGGGCAGGAUGAAGGCCUUCGGGUUGUAAACUGCUUUUGUACGGAACGAAAAGGCCCUGGCUAAUACCUGGGGCACAUGACGGUACCGUAAGAAUAAGCACCGGCUAACUACGUGCCAGCAGCCGCCGUAACAC
rnacentral:rRNA from 1 species